rnacentral:rRNA from 1 species
GAUGAACGCUAGCUACAGGCUUAACACAUGCAAGUCGAGGGGCAGCACAGUGUAGCAAUACACGGGUGGCGACCGGCGCACGGGUGCGUAACGCGUAUCCAACCUUCCCGAUACUCUUGGAUAGCCUUCCGAAAGGGAGAUUAAUACAAGAUGGUGUUUCACUUUCGCAUGUUAUUGAAACUAAAGAUUUAUCGGUAUCGGAUGGGGAUGCGUGACAUUAGAUAGUAGGCGGGGUAACGGCCCACCUAGUCUACGAUGUCUAGGGGUUCUGAGAGGAAGGUCCCCCACACUGGAACUGAGACACGGUCCAGACUCCUACGGGAGGCAGCAGUGAGGAAUAUUGGUCAAUGGUCGGAAGACUGAACCAGCCAAGUAGCGUGAAGGAUGAAGGUUCUAUGGAUUGUAAACUUCUUUAUACGGGAAUAAAACACCUUACGUGUAGGGUCUUGUAUGUACCGUAUGAAUAAGCAUCGGCUAACUCCGUG